rnacentral:rRNA from 1 species
GGGUGCAAACGUUGCUCGGAAUCAUUGGGCGUAAAGCGCACGUAGGCGGCAUUCUAAGUCGGAUGUGAAAUCCCUCGGCUCAACCGAGGACGUGCAUCCGAAACUGGAACGCUCGAGUAUGGAAGAGGGUCGCGGAAUUCUCGGUGUAGAGGUGAAAUUCGUAGAUAUCGGGAGGAACACCAGUGGCGAAGGCGGCGACCUGGGCCAAUACUGACGCUGAGGUGCGAAAGCGUGGGGAGCAAACAGG